GUGUAAGGUGCGGCUUGGCUGGUCCUGGCCUGAAUCCAGCGGAAGCGCACGCUGCUGAGCUGUCAGCGGAGGAAAAUGGGGCCUGGACCUGGAGAUAUGAGGGUCUGGAGAGAGGGGCCCCUUCCCUGGUGUCGUGUGGUGCGACCACUGGAGAGGGAGUUUCUCGCCCUCGUCGCGCCUGCCGCGCGGAGAGAUAAGGUCCUAGCACAGUAUCUGGCCAAUAUUAGGUUCUCACAAAUUGAGCAAAUAUGGAGGUGAAUUGAUGUGGAGCAAGAAUAGGAAGUGGAACCAAUGGAAGAUCUCAAGGAGAAGCAGAGCAACAUAAUGUGAGGAAGCUAGAACAGGAGAUGGUUCCAGGAAGGAUUUCAUGUUUAUUGAAUGACUGAUUAAAUCAGGACUCCUUAAGCUUUUUAUGUGCCAUUAGCUUUUUUGGCAGUUUGGUGAAGCCUUUGCAUCUUGUCUGAUGAUAUUUGUAAAUGCAUA
rnacentral:lncRNA from 1 species